rnacentral:rRNA from 1 species
GAUGAACGCUAGCGGCAGGCUUAAUACAUGCAAGUCGAGGGGCAGCGCGGGUAGCAAUACCUGGCGGCGACCGGCAAACGGGUGCGGAACACGUACGCAACCUUCCCAUAACUGGUGAAUAGCCCUCCGAAAGGAGGAUUAAUACACCGUAAGAUAACGAAGAGGCAUCUCUUUGUUAUUAUAGCUACGGCGGUUUUGGAUGGGCGUGCGCCUGAUUAGGUAGUUGGCGGGGUAACGGCCCACCAAGCCUACGAUCAGUAACUGGUGUGAGAGCACGACCAGUCACACGGGCACUGAGACACGGGCCCGACUCCUACGGGAGGCAGCAGUAAGGAAUAUUGGUCAAUGGACGCAAGUCUGAACCAGCCAUGCCGCGUGAGGAUGAAGGUCCUCUGGAUUGUAAACUUCUUUUCUUCGGGAAUAAAAACUAGGGGUUCUCCUCAGCUUGAAGGUACCGAAGGAAUAAGCACCGGCUAACUCCGUGCCAGCAGCCGCGGUAAUGUCUGUACU